GACGAACCGUGCGAACGUUGUUCGGAUUCACUGGGCUUAAAGGGCGCGUAGGCGGGCGAUCCAGUCAGGGGUGAAAGUUUUCGGCUCAACCGGAAAAGGGCCUCUGAUACGGGUCGUCUCGAGGGAGGUAGGGGCAUGCGGAACUUCCGGUGGAGCGGUGAAAUGCGUAGAUAUCGGGAGGAACAUCAGUGGCGAAGGCGGCCUUCUGGUCCAGUACUGACACUCAAGUGCGAAAGCGUGGGGAGCAAACAGG
rnacentral:rRNA from 1 species